ACACCAACUGCAAUUGCGAUUGAGGCUCUAGAAAAAAUUGAGAAUUUCCUAGAGGAAGAGGAGGGCAUUGCCUAUAAUGGGAAUGUAGCUUAACAAGACUUUGUCCGGUUGCUUUGUGACUUGCUUCCUCUUUGAGCUGUUGCGUAUGCCACGUUCCUAUUUUUAUUUGCGGAACAUGGCAUGUUGCAUGUAUUAUUUGUGCUAGUGGAUCAUCUGCGAUGCAAAUAACGUGUAAGAUUCUUGUUAUAUGAUGCUGAAAGUGCAAUUUGUAUAUACAGUGAAGUGACGCUUGAUCUUGAGCAACAAAUAAAAAGGCUUGCGUUAACCAUUGUUUAUGCAAGUCAAUGGCAGGUUGAGUUUUGUGGGUUCCUACCUUGCGGCCUUAUCGAACGAGCUUUUAUCCUAGUGG
rnacentral:misc_RNA from 1 species